ACCCAGCAGAUCCUCAUCCCUGCCGUCAUGGCAGCAGGUUCCUGGCGUGGCCAUCCACGGCUCCGCCCACUAGACGGUUGUCGCGGAAUCUCCCGUAGAGACGCUCCAUCCGGACACAGCAGCCCAGCACACAAACAGCUGGAGGGGGUCUCAGUACAGGGGAGUACUGCAGCAGGGUCAAUCGACCUCUGACCCUAGCCGGGGUCAGGCCACCCAGAGGUCACAGCAGGAGAGGAGCGGAGCUGGGAAGAGGACCAAGGGUCGCCGCGGCAACAACAGAACCACCAGGGGUGUGUCCGGUGUGUCGCUGAUCACCAACGUCAUGCUGACUCCGCCCACCUGCAGUGUGGCAGCCUCUCUCAGCCAAUCAUCAUCUCAGACACGCCCAGCCCGGCGGUCAGCGUCAUCACCAUCCACAGCGACUCAGACGAGGAAGACGAGAGGAAGUUCCACCCCGCCAGCUGUGGUCCGGCUCAGAGGACUAACGUGAUCAGCUGUUUGACGGUCCACGACUCUGACUCCUCCACGGCCAGCCCCCUCACCCCCGCCUCC